rnacentral:snRNA from 1 species
AUGCUUCAACAGCACAUAUACUAAAAUUGGAAUGAUACAGAUUACCAUGGCCUCUGAACAAGGAUGAAAUGCAAAUUCGUGAAGAGUUCCAGUGCAUU